CCUGCCCCUAGAAGCAUUGUACGUGCGGCUGCUGUGUCACAUGUGCAUCAGUAGGUGUCUGAGAGAAGAAAGGCUAUGCCGCUGCCCAAGAGUUCAGACCUGUAAACAUCUGAAUAAUUCCUAGCCUAACAUU